rfam:Hordeum vulgare subsp. vulgare, WGS project CAJW01000000 data, contig: morex_contig_1539389
AAUAACCAAAUAUAACACUGGGACUAAGGGUCAAAUUGGUAAUUUUUCUUACAUCUCCCCCCCCAGGGGCCCAGGU